rnacentral:rRNA from 1 species
AUGACAUUGUGUGGAAGCAUACGGCUAGUGGGACCUGCGACACCGACGGUUGUGUGGAGGCUCUGGUCUUUGAUCAUUGACAAAUUCCACAUUCUCGGUCUUGACACCAACGGUUGGCCCCUGUUCGACUCGGUUGAGGCUUGGUGGGCAAGUACCUGCGACACCGCCACGCCAAACCGGCAAGCCAAGGCGUCCCUCGCCAUGCUUGUUUCAUGGACUUUCUGGAACAAGCGAAACGCAAGGGUCUUCAAGCACAGGAGCGCUCCUCCAACUAUAUUGCUUGCCUCUAUAGAGACCAAGGCCAACCUUUGGGUCAUCUCCGGUGCCAAAAAAUUAGGGUCCAUUAUUUUGCGAGAGUGA